rnacentral:tRNA from 1 species
GCGGAUGUGGUGAAAUGGUAGACACGCUGGAUUUAGAUUCCAGUAGCGAGAGCUGUGGGGGUUCAAGUCCCUUCAUCCGCACCA